UAAUACGGAGGGUGCGAGCGUUAAUCGGAAUUACUGGGCGUAAAGCGCAUGCAGGCGGUCUGUUAAGCAAGAUGUGAAAUCCCAGAGCUUAACUCUGGAACUGCCAUUAAAACUUUUCAGCUAGAGUAUGAUAGAGGAAAGCAGAAUUUCUAGUGUAGAGGUGAAAUUCGUAGAUAUUAGAAAGAAUACCAAUUGCGAAGGCAGCUUUCUGGAUCAUUACUGACACUGAGGAACGAAAGCAUGGGUAGCGAAGAGGAUUAGAUACCCUCGUAGUCCAUGCCGUAAACGAUGUGUGUUAGACGUUGGAAAUUUAUUUUCAGUGUCGCAGGGAAACCGAUAAACACACCGCCUGGGGAGUACGACCGCAAGGUUAAAACUCAAAUGAAUUGACGGGGACCCGCACAAGUAGUGGAGCAUGUGGUUUAAUUCGAAGAUACGCGCAGAACCUUACCAACACUUGACAUGUUCGUCGCGACUCUAAGAGAUUAGAGUUUUCGGUUCGGCCGGACGAAACACAGGUGCUGCAUGGCUGUCGUCAGCUCGUGUCGUGAGAUGUUGGGUUAAGUCCCUCAACGAGCGCAACCCUCACUUUUAGUUGCCAUCAUUUAGUUGGGCACUCUGAAAGAACUGCCAGUGAUAAGCUGGAGGAAGGUGGGGAUGACGUCAAGUCCUCAUGGCCCUUACGUGUUGGGCUACACACGUGCUACAAUGGUAUCUACAACAGGAAGCAAGACUGCGAGGUCAAGCAAAUCCUUAAAAGAUACCUCAGUUCGGAUUGCACUCUGCAACUCGAGUGCAUGAAGCUGGAAUUACUAGUAAUCGUGGAUCAGCGUGCCACGGUGAAUGCGUUCCCGGGUCUUGUACACACCGCCCGUCACACCAUGGGAGUUGGUUCUACCUUAAGGCAAGGUUUAAAACCCUUGACCACGGUAUAGUCAGCGACUGGGGUGAAGUCGUA
rnacentral:rRNA from 1 species